rnacentral:rRNA from 1 species
GACAGAGGGGGCAAGCGUUGCUCGGAAUUACUGGGCGUAAAGAGCUCGUAGGUGGUUUGUCGCGUUGUUCGUGAAAACUCACAGCUCAACUGUGGGCGUGCGGGCGAUACGGGCAGACUUGAGUACUGCAGGGGAGACUGGAAUUCCUGGUGUAGCGGUGGAAUGCGCAGAUAUCAGGAGGAACACCGGUGGCGAAGGCGGGUCUCUGGGCCGAUACUGACGCUGAGGAGCGAAAGCGUGGGGAGCAAACAGG